rnacentral:rRNA from 1 species
AUUGAACGCUGGCGGCAUGCCUAACACAUGCAAGUCGAACGAGUGGCGGACGGGUGAGUAAUGUCUGGGAAACUGCCUGAUGGAGGGGGAUAACUACUGGAAACGGUAGCUAAUACCGCAUACCAUCGGAUGUGCCCAGUUGGGAUUAGCUAGUGGGUGGGGUAAAGGCUCACCUAGGCGACGAUCCCUAGCUGGUCUGAGAGGAGGACGGGCCACACGGGAACUGAGACACGGUCCAGACUCCUACGGGGUGCGGCAGUGGGGAAUAUUGCACAAUGGGCGCAAGCCUGAUGCAGCCAUGCCGCGUGUAUGAAGAAGGCCUUCGGGUUGUAAGAUACUUUCAGCGGGGAGGCGUUACCCGCAGAAGAAGCACCGGCUAACUCCGUGCCAGCCGCCGCGGUAAUUC